GAUAAUGUAUGAAUGUUUCAGUCUCCAUGAAUGGCUCCAUGGCAAGAUGAUGUAACCUUAUGAUAAAUGUGAAAACACAGAUAGCCAGACACUGUGCUGAACCUUAUUUAGCUUUUCUUGCAUGCUGGCUAGUUCUGUAAAAUUUCUGUGGAAUGCUACUUCUAUCAGGUGCUACCUCUGUGAAAGAAUUUGCAACUACUACUGCAACUCCACUAGAUACAUUCUGGGGGAUGGAUAUAAGACUGGUCAAAGGGACUGAAAAGGAAGUUAAUAAGCUUUAUUGAUUUGUCCUCUGAGGAAUGAAACUUGGAACCUCAAAAGUUUCCAGUCCUUCUCAGCUACACUUUUCCUGCUUACCAAAUGGAUGAUGCUAUGGCGAAGUGGAUGUGUGGCUGCUUACCUGCUUCUCAGGAGGCCCCAAAGCAAAGCAGAUAUUUUCAGCAGACUUCCAUUUGCAUAUCAUUUUGCUUCACAGAGAGAAGAGAACUACUGCUGAACAAAACACUUCUGGCUGCCUAAUGGUGUCUGAUUUGCUGUCUGUCAUUACUCACAGGGUAACAGACUUUGGGAGAGGGUGAUGGGGUUGCUAUUCUCCUUGGCAAGAUAAAUGGGUCUGAAAGAUGAGCUAAUAUCUGUACUGCAAAAUUGAUUUUUUUCUUGUUCCAUAACUGUCCAAAAGUAGGCACUGUCACAUUGCUGGGAGGGCUUCUAGCCCCACCUGUUGUCAGUCUUGCUGGAUACGCUGUGUAAGAUUUAAAUAAAAUUAGACAAGAGUUAGUCAAACUUUCCCUUGGGCUGAAGUUCCUUGUUGUGUGACUCCUCAGGUUGAUUAUACUUUAUUUUAAAUUUCAGCCAAAAUAUUUAAAUAUUUUUUGUGAUUUAGAAUAUUAAAAAGUGAGGCAGAGGGGAGUAUUAUCAUAAAUGAAAAAGAGUUCUAUCUUUUUUCUGCCAUAGAACCAAAGAAUAAG